CUUGGAAUGAAGGGAAUGAAAGGUGUCCAAGGCAGAAGAGGACCAAAGGGAGUGAGGGGCAAGCGUGGACCUCCAGGAAAACCAGGUGCACCAGGCAAGCGCAAGCCAACACAAAGACAGGGAUCAAAAAACAAGCC